AGUUUCUCCAUCUGUUUAAAAGAAGAAGUAGACAAGAUAAAUUCUCUCUUCGAUGCAUGAAAGGGAAAACAGAAUGAACUCAAUUCUGCUUUGAAAAAAUCUUUCUAAGAUCUUUCUUCAGAGAUUUUACUCACAUCUCUGAAUCUUCAUUAACAUAAUGAAGAAAGAACAGAUUUGGGGGGUUUCUGUAUGUCUGCUGCUUAGCUGUGCCUCUGCCCCUCUUGAUGCCGUUCCUGUGGAAGGUGAAGAAUAUACAAACAUUACAGAUGCUGAGGUGGUUCCAGUGCGACCUGUACAUUCAUUUUGUGCAAUGAGAGCAGAUGAUGGCCCAUGCAAAGCAAUGAUAAAGAGAUUUUUUUUCAAUAUUCACACUCAACAAUGUGAAGAAUUUAUUUAUGGAGGAUGUGAAGGAAAUCAGAAUCGAUUUGAAACUCUGGAAGAGUGCGAACAAAAAUGUACAAGAGAUUAUCCAGUGAAUAUUACAAAGACGAAAGUAACACUGCACAAAGAACAGCCAGAUUUCUGCUUUUUGGAAGAAGAUGUUGGAAUCUGUCGCGGUUAUAUUACUAGGUAUUUUUAUAACAAGCAAUCAAAGCAGUGUGAACGUUUCAUAUAUGGUGGGUGCCUCGGGAAUCUCAACAAUUUUGAAUCACUAGAAGAAUGCAAGAACACCUGUGAAGACACAUUGAAUGAUAGAAUCCAGGUUGAUGCACCUAGCAAGAAACCCAGCUCCUUUGAAUUUAAUCGCCCCUACUGGUGUCUGACCCCAGCAGAUAGGGGAUUGUGUCGAGCCAAUGUGACCAGAUUCUACUACGAUUCAGUCAUUGGGAAAUGCCACACAUUUGAGUACAGUGGAUGUGGAGGGAAUGAGAACAAUUUUACCUCUAGAAAAGCAUGUUUUAGGGCUUGUGAAAGAGGUUAUAUCCGAAGAAUAUCAAAAGAAGGAUUAAUUAAAACCAAAAGAAAAAGAAAGAAGCAGCUAGUCAAAAUAGAAUAUAAAUUUGUUACAUUACAGCAUCAUUUCUACUAAAUAUUUUGGACAAACGUUUUCAUUACGAUUCUUAUUGUUUCUCUCCUGAAAUCUUUUUAAUGAAAAUCUCGUGAAUCUUCUAUGCAUAUAUUACCUGCUAUUAAUACAUUUGCAUCAGAAUUCCUUUUCCAAUCUAAUCAAAUUGCUUAUUCUGUGGCUAUAACUUAUUAACUGUCUACUAUGAAUGUAUUAUUUUCUUGAUUCCUUUCUAACUAUCUGUCACUUAACUACAAUUUAUCAUACUGCUGGCCCCAUCAAGUCAGUCUGUUUUACCAUCUGGUGGUUAUCUGUUUGAGAAUAUGUCAUCACUUAUUUGUUUUUAUCACACAUACAAUUAUAUUCUUUAUACCCUAUGUUCAGAUUAACAAAUAUAACUAUUAAAGAUCAAGUGGUUUGGGGUUUCACAUAUAAAAUGGUGGCAAGCAUCCUUUUCUGAUUAAGAUCACUCAAUACUACAUUUGGAAAGACCUAAUAACAACAGAAUUCUGUAAGAUGAUUCACUCCCUAGACAUACUUUUUCUCCCUUUACACUAACCAGCACUUCAAACAAUCCUAAGCCAAAUCGUAUCUGAACAAAGAGAGUCAACUCUGUGUCAUGUGCCUGCCUGAUUUUGAUUGAUGUAGCUUUUGUGUGCUUCUGGCCCAUCUUAUCAGUAAAGAGGGUUGAAUAGUUGUGUGUUAAAUACAGAUCAUGAUAAGAAAAGUCCUGGUGGAAAAAGUUUUUAAUGGCAAUCUGAAGGAAAUUAUUUAUGUACUUUCUAAUUUUAUUGUUUGACAAAAUUUUCUCUUCCCGAAAAUGGCAAGAAUAUAUAAACCUCCCAAAACCUAUUCAUUUAUAAUUAGGCUUUGCACACAAUGCAACCAGUAAUUCAUGCUUUAAAAAAUGUCAUACUAUUUCUGUAAAAAAGGAAGACAAAAUUAUCAGGAAGGAAAAGUCUCCUAGAAAAAUGCAUAUUAUUCACUCUCAAGCUUUUAACAUUUCUCUGGAGUUAAUUCAGUUCAUCUAGAUCCAUACCUUUCCUUCUCUGCUGAGUCAUGUACAGUUUGAGAUCUCAAGAGCCUUGUUCACUUCAAAUUUCACAUUUAAAUUUGAGCUUGUCAUCUAGAAACAACUAACCACUUUGUCCAUUUAGUUUAGUAAUAGUAAAUAAAUUCUGCCUGUUCCUCA
rnacentral:lncRNA from 1 species